GAUGAACGCUAGCUACAGGCUUAACACAUGCAAGUCGAGGGGAAACGACAUCGAAAGCUUGCUUUUGAUAGGCGUCGACCGGCGCACGGGUGAGUAACGCGUAUCCAGCCUGCCCACCACUUGGGGAUAACCUUGCGAAAGUAAGACUAAUACCCGAUGAUAUCUCUAGAAGACAUCUGAAAGAGAUUAAAGAUUUAUCGGUGAUGGAUGGGGAUGCGUCUGAUUAGCUUGUUGGCGGGGUAACGGCCCACCAAGGCGACGAUCAGUAGGGGUUCUGAGAGGAAGGUCCCCCACAUUGGAACUGAGACACGGUCCAAACUCCUACGGGAGGCAGCAGUGAGGAAUAUUGGUCAAGUGGGCGAGAGCCUGAACCAGCCAAGUAGCGCGCAGGACGACGGCCCUAUGGGUUGUAAACUGCUUUAUAAGGAUAAAGUGAGUCUCGUGAGACUUUUUGCAUGUACCUUAUGAAUAAGACGCUAAUCCGUGCCAGCAGCCG
rnacentral:rRNA from 1 species